rnacentral:misc_RNA from 1 species
AAAAAUAAAUGAAUCGAAUCUAGCAGUGAAAUUGAUCGAUAAAUUUGGAGUAAUUGAGAACCACUGCUUAAAAGAGCAACAUGGCGAUUUCCUUACUUAUUGAAGUUGAAGUAGGUGUAGUCGCUAAUGAAAAUAGGAAUAGUCACUAAUUUAUUGUUAAGAUCAAAACAGAUUUAAUACCAAAACAUGGUAAAAUUAUAUGCAUUAUCAAUUUUAUAUAAAAACCCUACAUCGGCAACAACAUUGAAAGCUGCCUAUGAUGUAGAAUCAUUUUCCUUUUUUCAAAGAGGAAGCGUUAAAGAGUUUAUGAGCUUUGUAAGUAAAACUAUCGUAGAAAGGACUCAAAGCUGCUCUAGACAAAGCGUCAAAGAAGGAGAUUACAUGUGUCAUGUAUAUGUUAGAGCUGAUAAUCUAGCCGCGGUUCUUAUAUCGGAUCAUGAAUAUCCAAGAAGAGUAGCGCAUACGUUAAUUACAAAAGUUAUGGAUGAGUUUUCUUUAAAAUAUCCGCAAUCAAUGUGGGAUACUUUAAGCGAAGCUACCAUUGAUUUUGCACAGCUUAACAUAUAUUUAGCGAAAUACCAAAAUCCGAAUGAAGCUGAUGCCCUUACCAAAAUGCAAAAUGAUUUAGAUGAGACCAAGAUUAUUUUACACAAUACGUUAGAGGCUGUUCUUCAAAGAGGAGAAAAAUUGGAUGAUCUAGUUUCAAAAUCUGAAGGGCUUAGUGCUCAAUCCAAAGCAUUUUAUAAAACUGCACGAAAAACCAAUUCUUGUUGCAGUUUAGCUCCUUAAAAUCUUAUAUUGAUAAAUAUUGUUGAUUAAUUCCAAAUAUAACUGUCAUUUUCAGAGUGGCAAAUGAAAAAACAUAGGAUUAUAGACAUGAACAAUAUGUUUGGUAAAUAGCAAUUUUCAUUAACAUUUUUCAUUAUGUUGUAAUCUUUUGUCAUUAAGGAUAUGCUAAAAUAUUUAAAAUUUUUAAAGAUGGUUAAAAGUAACUAGGGUCUACUAUUUUUACAGAAAUAUUAUUGAUAAAGAUAAAAAAAA